UGAGGAAUAUUGGUCAAUGGGCGGGAGCCUGAACCAGCCAAGCCGCGUGAGGGAUGAAGGCCCUAUGGGUCGUAAACCUCUUUUGUCAGGGAACAAAAGCGAGUAUGUAUACUAGUCUGAGUGUACCUGAAGAAAAAGCAUCGGCUAACUCCGUGCCAGCAGCCGCGGUAAUACGGAGGAUGCGAGCGUUAUCCGGAUUUAUUGGGUUUAAAGGGUGCGUAGGCGGCGGUGCAAGUCAGCGGUAAAAGCCCGGGGCUCACCCCCGGCGAGCCGUUGAAACUGCAGUGCUAGAGAAGGCGAGAGGUACGCGGAAUGCGCAGUGUAGCGGUGAAAUGCUUAGAUAUUGCGCAGAACUCCGAUUGCGAAGGCAGCGUACUGGCGCCUGACUGACGCUGAGGCACGAAAGCGUGGGGGAUCGAACAGGGAUUAGAUACC
rnacentral:rRNA from 1 species